rnacentral:rRNA from 1 species
GACGAACGCUGGCGGCGUGCUUAACACAUGCAAGUCGAGCGGUAAGGCCCUUUCGGGGGUACACGAGCGGCGAACGGGUGAGUAACACGUGGGUGACCUGCCCUCAGCUCUGGGAUAAGCCUGGGAAACCGGGUCUAAUACUGGAUAUGACUCCAUGACGCAUGUUGUGGGGUGGAAAGCCUUGUGCGGCUGAGGAUGGGCCCGCGGCCUAUCAGCUUGUUGGUGGGGUGANGGCCUACCAAGGCGACGACGGGUAGCCGGCCUGAGAGGGCGACCGGCCACACUGGGACUGAGACA